rnacentral:snoRNA from 1 species
UCCGCCCCUAGAGGCAUUACAGGUGUGGCUGCUAUGUCACAUGUAUGUCAGUAGAUGCCAGAGAGGAGAGAGCCUAUGUCUAAGCUCAGUGUUGUGACCUAUGAAAAUAUGAAUGAUUAGUGACUAAUACU